rfam:Chaetomium globosum CBS 148.51 scaffold_7 genomic scaffold, whole genome shotgun sequence.
GGGGGAGUGGUGUAGUUGGAGUGUGUUACACCUGGAAGCCACAAGGCUGUCGGUUCGAAUCCGGCCUCCCUCG